GACGAACGCUGGCGGCGUGCUUAACACAUGCAAGUCGAACGAUGAAGCUGGAGCUUGCUCCAGUGGAUUAGUGGCGAACGGGAGUGACACGUGAGCAAUCUGCCCUUGACUCUGGGAUAACUGCGGGAAACUGUAGCUAAUACCGGAUACGACACCUUGGGGCAUCCCGGGGUGUGGAAAGAAUUUCGGUCAAGGAUGAGCUCGCGGCCUAUCAGCUUGUUGGUGAGGUAAAGGCUCACCAAGGCGACGACGGGUAGCCGGCCUGAGAGGGUGACCGGCCACACUGGAACUGAGACACGGUCCAGACUCCUACGGGAGGCAGCAGUGGGGAAUAUUGCACAAUGGGCGAAAGCCUGAUGCAGCAACGCCGCGUGAGGGAUGACGGCCUUCGGGUUGUAAACCUCUUUUAGCAGGGAAGAAGCGAAAGUGACGGUACCUGCAGAAAAAGCACCGGCUAACUACGUGCCAGCCGCCGCCGUAA
rnacentral:rRNA from 1 species